CAGCCGCCGCGGGAAUACGUAGGGUGCAAGCGUUAAUCGGAAUUACUGGGCGUAAAGCGUGCGCAGGCGGUUAUAUAAGUCAGAUGUGAAAUCCCCGAGCUCAACCUGGGAACUGCAUUUGAGACUGUAUGGCUAGAGUGUGUCAGAGGGGGGUAGAAUUCCACGUGUAGCAGUGAAAUGCGUAGAUAUGUGGAGGAAUACCGAUGGCGAAGGCAGCCCCCUGGGAUAACACUGACGCUCAUGCACGAAAGCGUGGGGAGCAAACAGGAUUAGAUACCCCUGUAGUCCCUGUCUCUUAUAC
rnacentral:rRNA from 1 species